CCGCGGGACUCCUGCGCCGUCGUUCCUCCCCCACCCCCGGCUGCCGCCGUCGCCCUCCCACGGAGCGCUCGACGGCGCCGGCCGACGACGGUCCAACCCACGGCCGCACUCUCCAGGGCAACGAAGGGCCGCGGCCGCGGCUCGCUCCCCGGCCUCACGGGACGCCUCCUUGCCGCUCGCCCUGCGCCUCCUGAGGUGAGUUCCCGAUUCCUCGAUUGAACUUCCUGAUUACUAAAAAAAAAUGAGCAUCUGCAAGUUAACAAUUGAGCAUCUUACUUGCAUACUGUAACAGAGAUUCACAGUACAUGUUGUUCUGCUUUUAUGGAUUGCACAGUGAAUGUCUGUUACCCUUAACUAGAUAUCAAAAGAAGGAUGAGGCCAGAAUGAUCAGUAGUAUAAUGAUAAUCUCCGUGGAAUAUAUCCACAUCAAAACAGAACAGCAUAUUGAAUUUCUCUCAAGAUGCAAAGCCAUAUUUUUUUUUGUAUGAGUAAUUUAGUAACCGAUCAUCCAUGACUGAACUGUAGUUUAGUAAGCCAAACUAGCAGGGUACACAACUAAACACUUCCUGCUGCUAUUUUCAUUCAGGCAUCUUCCAUGACACCCACAUCAACUUGUAUGAAUUGUUAAUUCAGCUGCAGUUAUUUCUUCUUAUGCAAAUGCCCUUUCUUGGUUUUUCAAGUUUUCAUGUCAUAUUUGUAACUAAUAACUGUUUGUUGUUCAAUAUUUUUCAAUGCAACCGCGCAGGUGCCGGUGGGCAAGCGCCGCCGCCGCCGGAGUGGAGGCUCAUUCCGCUGGACGAGGUACGAGCGCCGGUGAUCCGAUGACUCUACUUUGAGAAGCUACAAGUUAGAUGACAAAUUGCUGCAGGUGGAGCAAUGAAGGCGCUAUUGCCACCGGCUUUGUUCAACAGCACAGUUAAAUUCAGAGAGUGGUGAAUGGAAGUCCUUUGGAUAAAUUUUUUGUUUGUGCUCCAGUUUCUUAAAAUAGUUGCAUGGCUUAAGUUUAAGAUAAGUGAUGCUCCGGAAGUCGAGUACCUGACUACCUAUUAAUGAGUGAUGAAAUAAUCGAGAUAAAUUUGUAUAGGAUUACCGGAAUGGUAAUUGAAAGCAGUGGGAGGAACUAGAUGAAGUCAAGGGAGGGGUCAAAACAAGAUAGAAUUCGACCUCGUGCAUUUUGGUACAUUCUGUUUUUGUCAUUCGCUUUGUUUGCCAUGUGCAUGAUUUUUGUCAGGCCUAUGUUCGGCUUCACUGAUAAA